rnacentral:rRNA from 1 species
UACAGAGGGUGCAAGCGUUAUUCGGAGUUACUGGGCGUAAAGCGCAUGUAGGCGGUCUAGUAAGUCAGAUGUGAAAGCCCUGGACUCAAUCCAGGAAGUGCAUCUGAUACUGUUAGACUUGAGUAUAGGAGAGGUCAGUGGAAUUCCUGGUGUAGAGGUGAAAUUCGUAGAUAUCAGGAGGAACAACAGAGGCGAAGGCGACUGACUGGACUAUAACUGACGCUGAGAUGCGAAAGCGUGGGGAGCAAACAGG